GACGAACGCUGGCGGCGUGCUUAACACAUGCAAGUCGAACGGAAAGGCCCUGCUUUUGUGGGGUGCUCGAGUGGCGAACGGGGGAGUAACACGCGAGUAACCUGCCCUUGACUUUGGGAUAACUUCAGGAAACUGGGGCGAAUACCGGAUAGGAGCUCCUGCUGCAUGGGGGGGGUUGGAAAGUUUCGGCGGUUGGGGAUGGACUCGCGGCUUAUCAGCUUGUUGGGGGGGUAGUGGCGUACCAAGGCUUUGACGGGUAGCCGGCCUGAGAGGGUGACCGGCCACAUUGCGACUGAGAUACGGCCCAGACGCCUACGGGCGGCAGCAGUGGGGAAUAUUGCACAAUGGGCGGACGCCUGAUGCAGCAACGCCGCGUGCGGGAUGACGGCCUUCGGGUUGUAAACCGCUUUCGCCUGUGACGAAGCGUGAGUGACGGUAAUGGGUAAAGAAGCACCGGCUAACUACGUG
rnacentral:rRNA from 1 species